UACGUAGGGUGCGAGCGUUGUCCGGAAUUAUUGGGCGUAAAGAGCUUGUAGGCGGUCUGUCGCGUCUGCUGUGAAAAUCCGGGGCUCAACCCCGGACUUGCAGUGGGGUACGGGCAGACUAGAGGUGUGGUAGGGGAGACUGGAAUUCCUGGUGAUAGCGGUGAAAUGCGCAGAUAUCAGGAGGAACACCGAGUGGCGAAGGCAGGUCUCUGGGC
rnacentral:rRNA from 1 species